UUGAGAUGGAGGUGGGAAUCCUCCAGGCCGAAUAUCCAAGGUUUCCAGAGUAAAGCUGAUCUGCUCUGGGUAAGUCGGGACCUAAGGCGAGGCCGAGAGGCGUAGCCGAUGGACAACAGGUUGAGAUUCCUGUACUGCUGUAUAUCAGAACUGUGGGGACACAGAGGGAAAGCACAGGCGCGGAACGGAAAGCCGCGUGCAAGCGAGGUACCGGACUGGUAGGAAAAACCGCCAGUCAACGGGAAGGCGUGAUGCGUACCGAAAACAAGUAGGGAAGUGUGUGAGCCAGCUGUCAAGAAAAGCCGCUAUUGUGUAUACAGUACCCGUACCGUAAACCGACACAGGUGGAUGAGGAGAGAAUCCUAAGGCCGGCGGAAGAAGUAUUGUCAAGGAACUCGGCAAAAUGACCCUGUAACUUCGGGAGAAAGGGUGCCUCGAAAGAGGCCGCAGAGAAUCGGCCCAAGCAACUGUUUAGCAAAAACACAGGUCUAUGCGAAACCGAAAGGUGAGGUAUAUGGGCUGACGCCUGCCCGGUGCUGGAAGGUUAAGGGGAGAUGUUAGAGCAAUCGAAGCAUUGAACUUAAGCCCCAGUAAACGGCGGCCGUAACAAUAACGGUCCUAAGGUAGCGAAAUUCCUUGUCGGGUAAGUUCCGACCCGCACGAAAGGCGUAAUGAUUUGGGCGCUGUCUCGACAAUACAUCCGGUGAAAUUGAAGUACCAGUGAAGAUGCUGGUUACCCGCGCCAGGACGGAAAGACCCCAUGGAGCUUUACUCCAGCUUGAUACUGGGAUUCGGUAUUGCAUGUACAGGAUAGGUGGGAGGCUAAGAAGCAAGGACGCCAGUCUUUGUGGAGCCGCUGUUGGGAUACCACCCUUGCGGUAUUGGAUUUCUAACCAGCCGCCGUGAAACCGGCGGUGGGACAAUGUCAGGCGGGGAGUUUGACUGGGGCGGUCGCCUCCGAAAGGGUAUCGGAGGCGCCCAAAGGUUUCCUCAGAAUGGUUGGAAACCAUUCGAAGAGUGCAAAGGCAGAAGGGAGCUUGACUGUGACACCGACGGGUGGAGCAGGUACGAAAGUAGGGCUUAGUGAUCCGGUGGUAUUAAGUGGGAAUGCCAUCGCUCAACGGAUAAAAGCUACCCUGGGAUAACAGGCUUAUCACUCCCAAGAGUUCACAUCGACGGAGUGGUUUGGCACCUCGAUGUCGGCUCAUCGCAUCCUGGGGCUGUAGUAGGUCCCAAGGGUUGGGCUGUUCGCCCAUUAAAGCGGUACGCGAGCUGGGUUCAGAACGUCGUGAGACAGUUCGGUCCCUAUCCGGCGUGGGCGCAGGAUAUUUGAGAGGAGCUGUCCUUAGUACGAGAGGACCGGGAUGGACUGACCUCUGGUGCACCGGUUGUUCCGCCAGGAGCAUAGCCGGGUAGCCAAGUCGGGAAGGGAUAAACGCUGAAGGCAUCUAAGCGUGAAGCCCCCCUCAAGAUGAGAUAUCCCAUGCGAAAGCGAUAAGACCCCUUGAAGACGACGAGGUAGAUAGGUCAGAGGUGGAAGCACAGCAAUGUGUGGAGCUGACUGAUACUAAUAGGUCGAAGGCUUACCAAA
rnacentral:rRNA from 1 species